rnacentral:rRNA from 1 species
UACGGAGGGUGCAAGCGUUAUCCGGAUUCACUGGGUUUAAAGGGUGCGUAGGCGGGCAGGUAAGUCCGUGGUGAAAUCUCUGAGCUUAACUCAGAAACUGCCAUGGAUACUAUCUGUCUUGAAUGUUGUGGAGGUAAGCGGAAUAUGUCAUGUAGCGGUGAAAUGCUUAGAUAUGACAUAGAACACCCCAUUGCGAAGGCAGCUUACUACACAAUUUAUUGACGCUGAGGCACGAAAGCGUGGGGAUCAAACAGG